rnacentral:rRNA from 1 species
GACGAACGCUGGCGGCGUGCUUAACACAUGCAAGUCGAACGGAAAGGCCCUGCUUUUGUGGGGUGCUCGAGUGGCGAACGGGUGAGUAACACGUGAGUAACCUGCCCUUGACUUUGGGAUAACUUCAGGAAACUGGGGCUAAUACCGGAUAGGAGCUCCUGCUGCAUGGUGGGGGUUGGAAAGUUUCGGCGGUUGGGGAUGGACUCGCGGCUUAUCAGCUUGUUGGUGGGGUAGUGGCUUACCAAGGCUUUGACGGGUAGCCGGCCUGAGAGGGUGACCGGGCACCAUGGGACUGAGGUAGGGCCCAGACUCCUACGGGAGGCAACAGGGGGGAAUAUUGCCCAAUGGGGCGGAGCCUGAUGAAGCAACCCCGGGUGCGGGAAGAACGCCUUCGGGGUGGAAACCGCUUUCGGCUGUGACCAAGCGGUAGUGACGGUAAUGGGUAAAGAAGCACCGGCUAACUACGUG